rnacentral:misc_RNA from 1 species
GUCUCAAACGACUCAAAAGCACCUAGUUACAUAAUGACAAAUUAUAACAGACAUGAUAUCUGCAGAAAAUUUCUCAGUUCAUAAAUCAUGAAAUAGGUAAGUUUAAUAUGAGCUACGCAUCCUAGUUGAUUUACUGCAAAAAUAAAAAUGCAUCUAAAUGGAAAAGCAUCAUUGCCAUUAUAACAAAAUGUGGAAAUAAUUAGAUGUCAGUUGGUAGUUGUUUAAGUUGGUAUCAUAACAAGAGAGACAGAUAGAGAUUUAAAAGUUCAUUUAAGCGAAGGGAACCUUAAAUUCACAAAACACAAGCACAUAAAUGCCUGGCUGAAAUUUUGUUUUGAAAAAAAUUUGCAAGAAGAUAUCAGUUCCUUUAGAGCAAUAGGUGGAAUUAAACAAAAACCUUCAUCAAGGCUCAAAUAUCAAACAAAAACCAAGGAAAGCUGUAGCCGUCUUUUAACAGAUUGAAAUCUAAAGAUGCUUCGUAUGUGUAUGCAAUAAAACAAGAUUGUCACAUAUCUCAUGAAAAUAGAAAGAUUAACUGCCAAAAUAUAUGUAUCUUGCAGAGUUAGAUGAUAUUGAUGAAAACAGGGUAAUCAGAAACUUCAAUAACAGACCUGAGCACCAGUGAGCUUAUUAUCCCAGCUAAGCACACCGUAGUAUGGCCCUCCCGAGAAAGCACCAGCAUGCUUGGCCA